rnacentral:rRNA from 1 species
GAUGAACGCUGGCGGCGUGCCUAAUACAUGCAAGUCGAGCGAACAGAUAAGGAGCUUGCUCCGGUGACGUUAGCGGCGGACGGGUGAGUAACACGUGGAUAACCUACCUAUAAGACUGGGAUAACUUCGGGAAACCGGAGCUAAUACCGGAUAACAUAUUGAACCGCAUGGUUCAAUAGUGAAAGGCGGCUUUGCUGUCACUUAUAGAUGGAUCCGCGCCGUAUUAGCUAGUUGGUAAGGUAACGGCUUACCAAGGCAACGAUACGUAGCCGACCUGAGAGGGUGAUCGGCCACACUGGAACUGGGACGCGGUCCAGGCUCCUACGGGAGGCAGCAGUCGGGAAUCUUCCGCAAUGGGCGGAAGCCUGACGGAGCAACGCCGCGUGAGUGAUGACGGUCUUCGGAUCGUAAAACUCUGUUAUCAGGGAAGAACCAAUGUGUAAGUAACUGUGCACAUCUUGACGGUACCUGCUCAGAAAGCCCCGGCUAACUACGUG